AUCUGACAACCCUAUUGCAACCUCACAGCUGCAGUCGUCUGCCCCUGCAUCUGCUACACCAGUGAUACAGAUCUGCCACCCCCAGCAGUUCAGCUGCAGUCACAGUUGUCCUCUGCUGAGGCAUUUAAUUUACCGCCUGAACCGGUUCCUUCUACAGUAGCCGUGAAGGGAGAAACUUGUGAGGAUUCCCAGAUGGAUACAGAUCUGCCAUGCACUCCACCACUGCCCGACAGCCUCACCCAGAAGUGCAUACACUGGGCCUAUCAAGACUGAUAAAGCAGAGAUGGGUGGCUGGCAAGGAAAAAUAAAACACAACAUGCACACACUCUCUCUCUGGCGCACACACACACACAUUAUCCCCCAAUGUAAAGAAAUUGUAAUUACUUGUUUAUUUUAUGUAUGCUCCAGUUUAUUUUAGGAUUGGAGAUAUCUACGCCUAUCUAUCCAUUGUCAAUAUCUACAUAAUUACUCUAAAUAUCUAUCAAAUCAAAAUGGGAUUUAUAAAAUGUCCGAUUUGAGGAAAUUCUUUGUGCUUUUCUCGGAGUUGAAAAACAUGCCUCACUCUCUCUCWCACACACACACAUUAGACCCAAUGUAAAUACAUUGAUUAUUUUAUUUAUGCUCCAUUUUAUUUGAGGAUUGUGUGCAAUUGACAGUUAAAACAACAGUUCGGUUUAUAMGAUAUUUCUCUAAUUAAAAUGAAUGACUGCAGACCUGCGACCCUCUUGUGUAGACCCUCUGAGUAGAGCUGAAACGGCCCCAACAGCCCWCACAUAUGUACAUGGUUCCCAGGAGUUGUCCUGCAAAAAUAUUUUUUAUGUACCAAGGCUACCCACCCUGGCUACCCAUCCACAUCGCUCUGGCCAAACGGACGUUUGUUCUCCACAAUGAAUGAACGUAGUGCUUAAAAACCAAGCAGCCAAGGAAUAGAGCGAGAGAUGACCUGGAGGGAG